rnacentral:rRNA from 1 species
GGCGGCAUGCCUAACACAUGCAAGUCGAACGUGAUCCAUGACUUCGGUUGUGGUGAAAGUGGCAGACGGGUGAGUAACGCGUGGGAACCUGCCCAAUGGUAGGGAAUAACCGCGGGAAACUGCGGCUAAUACCCUAUGACCCCUUUGGGGGAAANAUUUAUCGCCAUUGGAGGGGCCCGCGUCGGAUUAGGUAGUUGGUAGGGUAACGGCCUACCAAGCCAUCGAUCCGUAGCUGGUCUGAGAGGAUGAUCAGCCACACUGGGACUGAGAUACGGCCCAGACUCCUACGGGAGGCAGCAGUGGGGAAUAUUGGACAAUGGGGGCAACCCUGAUCCAGCAAUGCCGCGUGAGUGAUGAANGCCUUCGGGUUGUAAAGCUCUUUCGGCGGGGAAGAUGAUGACGGUACCCGCAGAAGAAGCCCCGGCUAACUUCGUGCCAGCAGCCGCGGUAAUACGAANGGGGCUAGCGUUGUUCGGAAUUACUGGGCGUAAAGGGCGCGUA